CUUCCGUAGGGUGAACCUGCGGAAGGAUCAUUACCGAGUGUAGGGUUCCUAGCGAGCCCAACCUCCCACCCGUGUUUACUGUACCUUAGUUGCUUCGGCGGGCCCGCCAUUCAUGGCCGCCGGGGGCUCUCAGCCCCGGGCCCGCGCCCGCCGGAGACACCACGAACUCUGUCUGAUCUAGUGAAGUCUGAGUUGAUUGUAUCGCAAUCAGUUAAAACUUUCAACAAUGGAUCUCUUGGUUCCGGCAUCGAUGAAGAACGCAGCGAAAUGCGAUAACUAGUGUGAAUUGCAGAAUUCCGUGAAUCAUCGAGUCUUUGAACGCACAUUGCGCCCCCUGGUAUUCCGGGGGGCAUGCCUGUCCGAGCGUCAUUGCUGCCCAUCAAGCACGGCUUGUGUGUUGGGUCGUCGUCCCCUCUCCGGGGGGGACGGGCCCCAAAGGCAGCGGCGGCACCGCGUCCGAUCCUCGAGCGUAUGGGGCUUUGUCACCCGCUCUGUAGGCCCGGCCGGCGCUUGCCGAACGCAAAUCAAUCUUUUUCCAGGUUGACCUCGGAUCAGGUAGGGAUACCCGCUGAACUUAAGCAUAUCAAUAAGCGGAGGA
rnacentral:rRNA from 2 species